AGAGAACCAGGAGAGUUGAGCUGAACUGAGGGUUCAGAGCUGCAGUCAGAACAUUUGCUGUCAGCAGUCAGGCCAUUCAACAGGGCUGCUAGAUUUUUAUGACAAGAGCAUGUAGAAGCCCUGGAUCAUUGUUCAGACAGGGAAGGUGACCAAUUUAUCAGGUCCUGAGGAUGUUGAAAGUGCAGGGAAACAUCUGAGAUUGGGUUUAUGUGGCCAACUGAAACCAAAGCACACCUUCCCCACGCUGAGGAACCUGCCUAUGCUUGGAAAGCAAGGGGACAGCAACACCCUCUGACUGCAAUUCAAGAGAACCCCAAAUAGGCACAAGACACUUGUUUUCAAUUAGUUAGGGUUAUCCUCCUGCUUUCUG
rnacentral:lncRNA from 1 species